GACGAACCGUGCGAACGUUGUUCGGAAUCACUGGGCAUAAAGGGCGCGUAGGCGGCCUGUCAAGUCAGGGGUGAAAUCCGGCAGCUCAACUGUCGAAGUGCCUUUGAUACUGACGGGCUCGAGGGAGGUAGGGGUGUGCGGAACUUCCGGUGGAGCGGUGAAAUGCGUUGAUAUCGGAAGGAACGCCGGUGGCGAAAGCGGCGCACUGGAUCUCUUCUGACGCUGAGGCGCGAAAGCUAGGGGAGCAAACGGG
rnacentral:rRNA from 1 species